GACGAACGCUGGCGGCGUGCUUAACACAUGCAAGUCGAACGGUAAGGCCCUUCGGGGUACACGAGUGGCGAACGGGUGAGUAACACGUGGGUGAUCUGCCCUGCACUUCGGGAUAAGCCUGGGAGACUGGGUCUAAUGCCGGAUAGGACCACUGCCUGCAUGGGUGGUGGUGGAAAGCUUUUGCGGUGUGGGAUGGGCCCGCGGCCUAUCAGCUUGUUGGUGGGGUGAUGGCCUACCAAGGCGACGACGGGUAGCCGGCCUGAGAGGGUGACCGGCCACACUGGGACUGAGAUACGGCCAAGACUCCUACGGGAGGCAGCAGUGGGGAAUAUUGCACAAUGGGCGCAAGCCUGAUGCAGCGACGCCGCGUGAGGGAUGACGGCCUUCGGGUUGUAGACCUCUUUCAGCACCGACGAAGCGCAAGUGACGGUAGGUGCAGAAGAAGGACCGGCCAACUACGUGCCAGCCGCCGCGGUAA
rnacentral:rRNA from 1 species